UCAGCAGUGCUUACUGAAAUGUUAAUGUGCCUUGAUCUACACAUAUUUCAAAUCAAACAACACAUUAACAUUUCAGUAAGCACUGCUGAUUAAUUGGAAACUCACAAAUCAAUGAACUACUAACAAAUCUACAUCAGUGAAAUUCACGAUCAAUAGAAGCUUAGAAGCCGGAGCUUCGCUCUGCCCUCAAGUUGCUUCAGUCAUAUUUUUAAGGUGUGCUAGAUGUCAUGACAUCCUUGAGUACUAAAACUUGAACGAGCAAUUGUGUCAUUGUGCUUUGAAAAUAUUUCUGAACCAUCCCCAGCAGACUGGUGUCUUCUAAUUCGGAAGAGACUUUUUUCAUUACCAUGAGCCUUGGAUUGAGCUCUUCCUUUGAUACCAUAUCUUGCACUACCAAAUCUAGAGCUAAAAACCCGAUUUGCAGACUUGAGAGAAGAUUCAAUCCCAUCAAUCUCUCCCAAAAAUCCAGACUCACCCUCUGUUCCACCCAUAAGUUCCAUCAAAUUGCUCCGAAACCCCAAAUCUGAAUACACUCUCCGUGAAUCCUUCACUGAUUGUGAACCAAGUUUACCCUCUGCACCAUCCAAAUUCUCUUCUCCAACACCCUCUGGUCUUACACCAAACUGGUUAUUUCUCAAUUCAAUUGGACGUCCCAUCGUCUCCACCAUCAUACAGGGAUUGUUGAAUCCAUUCCAUGAAUGAAGAGGAACCAAUUUACUUAAAGCAGUUAACCAAUCAAUCACCUCCUUCAUUGCUGGCCUCCUCUCUCUACAAGAC
rnacentral:misc_RNA from 1 species